AACUCCGGUCCCUGCGCUUGCACAGCAGGUGGUGAAACCACUGAGCUAAAUCCCUGGCCCCUUUUACAGUGGUCUUAGGUUUACAGAAUUGAGGGAAGUGCAGAGAACUCGGGCCUGUCUCCCCGCUAAUGUGUGUGGGUCCUGUGGCGCAACAGCCUUGCCUUGUGGUCACCAAAGCCCUGGCUGACGCCGGGGCUCCUGCUGGGGGUUGUGCAAUCACUGGUUCUGAUAGGUGUGUGGUGAUGUGUGCGCCACCUGUUCGCUUCCUAGGCCUCCACGGUAGCCAGCUGUGGUGGCUUGCUGGUUCCAAACAACAGUCAGGACCCUCCAGUCCUUUGGGUAUCCGCCCACUCCUGGGUGCCCCUGAGAGGCAGGACUCAGGCAGGUUGCUCAGCCUCCGUCCUGAUCCCCACGUGCCUGUUUACUGUCAUCAGACAGGGACUCCACUUGGAUGCCCAGCCCCAAGACUCCACCCACAGGAAGGAGCCUGUAUGCUCCUGCCUGAGC
ensembl:lncRNA